UGACUGUGAACAAGCCAUGAUUAUGAUAGCCUAACAAGCUAAUUAAGGUCUGAGACCUUGGUAAAAGUUAUCUCAGAGCUCAAAUCUCUUAGGAUGCUAAAACUUUUGCAUGGUCCUCCUUUCUGUUGUAGAAAGCAAAACGAAUGCACUAAUCUUACUUAAAAUGUGGAAAAAAAUGUUUCAUCUUUAACUUUUGGAGAUCUUCUUUUCAUCUUCUAAUCACUUAAAGCAACAUUAUGGUACAAUUUUACCUUAAAAUAACAGCUUCAUUUUGAACACUGACAUCUGUGUCAUUGCCACUCCGCACCCGGUACGCCUGGUAACUUUGGUGGACUGUCCACAAGAACUCUCAUGAGAAAAAUGAUGUAAUGCUUUACGGCAUGACAUCACGAACUAACAACUGUGGGCCAGCAAUAAGAAGAAGCUAGCUCAAUAAUAUUGUUAUAACAUUGUUAUUUUGUUUGUGGUUAGCUGAUACAUUACAUAUGACAAGAUUCUUACAGAAAGAACCACAUACAUCGUUAGCAUUGCAUAAAUAUACUUUGCAAACUGUUAAUGCUGUCCUGCCGUUAGCUGUAGUGAUCCGUGUCUGUGCUAAUGGGAAAACAACGACAGUCUGACAGCAGAGUGGACAUCCCUGCAAAUGUUAUUUAUGAAAGAUUGAGAUAGAGGCUGUAACCUUAUUGGUGUCUCUCAGACAUUUGUCAUCUUUCUGGAUGCCAAAACUCGUCUCAGUCUAGUCUAGUCUCGUCUCGUCUCAGGCUAACAUGCAAAAUAAAUUAAUAAAUCUAAUGCCAAAAAGUUUGGUCAGUCCUUAUCACAUAUCACAUGUUGUAAAAGUGGAUUACACUCUACAACGGUAGGUGGAGCCCAAUACCAAUUCUUGCAUAAUGGGGCUUUAACUAGUCCCAGUAACAGACAUUUUGACCAGGGGUGCCCAAACCUUUCCAUGUCACUGUAUAUCCUCACAGAUAUCAUUUUGAGUUAUUACUGAGAAUUGAAGAAAUUUUAAGUAAACAGCUUGUUUACAUAGAUUUGUUUGGACGUUGUCUGUAAAUACUAAACUAAACCAUGCUGUUUUAAUAUAUGUAAAUGAAACAGAGUGCAGGCAAUAUCACUCUGCUCAAUGUGUUUCUGUACUUGACAUACUGUUGUAAAUGUACUAACAGGCAGGUCCUCCUCGCAUGGUGAAAUGUUAUGGUGAUUUAUAUGUAUUUGGCCCUCACAGUGGCAGAGAAGACCACAGACAAGGGGUGAACAGCAAUCACCAUCCACAAUAGCAAACGGAUACAUGAAGCAACCGAGGGAGGAGGAGCCAGAAACACACUCUAAUAAGAGGCUACGCUCGUAAAGAAACACUUCAAGCUGCUGCAUGUUUCAAGAACCACACAUAUAAUUUGGCAAUAAGGAAGAAGGAGACUUCGCUGGGUCUUAUUACAGCUGAAGGCAAAAGCACAUAUUGUUGACUGCAUGUUGCCUAAUAAAAAAGGGUUUGAGUUUGUAUAACAAAUAUUUUAUCAUAUUGUAGCCAUCGUAUUUUAAUCAGAGGGUCUGUUAACAUAAGUUAGAGUUGUGUGAAUGAUGAACGACAAGAUGUAUAUGUGUGGGGAAGUAAAGACAUGGCUGUGAAAACAAA